ensembl:lncRNA
CUGGACGAAAGCCAGAGUGAGCUUGUAAUAAACAAAUAUCUUGUGGAGAGACAAUACGUGAGCAUGCGACGCAUGCUUUUUAGACCUGGGCUAACUAACCAAGCUGAAUGAUAUGUUACUCACGUGAUCUCUAGGAUACGAGCUCCUGCUUCAGUAAUAUAUAUGCAAACAUGUAAAUGCUAGUGGUUGAACGAGAUCAGGAAAUGGAAAACAGUUAGGGUUCAUACGAUAAAAAUUGUGAAUAAAGGUACUUGGUGGAGUUUAGGACUUGGUUACGCAGGCUGCAUUUAAUUUAAAUGUUAACAUGUGGAUAAUCUACAGAAUGACGUGAUAUUAAAAAUAUAUAGGCAUGAUUAAUCCACUAGUGAUUAAGACGAGCUCGGUUAAUUAAUUAAGCGAGCAUCAACAACAAUAAACGUUUAAUAUUAUGACAGCAGCUUGGGUGUGAGAGGCGAGAUGGAUAAAGACACAUUGAAGGAGAAAGAGAGAGAUGGAGAAAAUGUGAAGGAGAGAGAAGAGCGGAGGAGAACAACAGGAAAACGGAGAGAAAGAAAGGGAUGGAGGGUGAACGAGUGGAUUAGAGAGUUGGCAUUUCCCAGUCAAUCUGACCAAAAUAAUCCCUGCUAAUCCUAACCUCAGGGCAUUGAGAACUGGAGGAGCUGAUUCGCGCCCAGAAGACCGUGAGGAAUUCAGCCACGAUAGUUAAAUCCCUGGAAAAAACUGUCGUCCAUCUACCAGGGGAUUGAACAGUCAACCCCUGGAGCCUCAGCAGGCAGCACUGCUCUCCAGUGGAGCCCAAACCUCUCCUGGGGCCAGCGCCCUCACAGUUUCGUUUUUGCCCUGAACUAGCUCACCUGAUUCAACAGGUGAGUGUUUGUUAAUUAGUUAAUACGUUGAUUCAGGUGUGCUAGCUCUGGGAUAAAUCUAAUGGAUGGAAUGGCUGGGGGGGCCCCAGGAGAGGUUUGGGAACCACUGCAAGUCUUGCCCACAGCAGUAGCUCUCAGCUGGGUGCACGCUACAACUAAAAUUUGGGCCGGGAGGGGUUUUAAAUGGGUCACAGCCUGGACUGGCAGUUGUGUGAGAAACAACACAUGCUUUUACCAGGGAGAAACUGAGCUGAAAGGUUCACCCCCAGUGUUUGUGUCUGUUGACGAAAUCGACCUGGAACAGUUCUUCAUCUGCCGUGACAUUAAGACAUUAUGGAGGGUAGAAUAACUCCGUAAAAAGGUAAUAAAAGCAAAUGUUGAUGUAGUGACACCAGUCUAAAACACUCACCGUCACAGCGUACGUGUACCGGAUAGAAUCUGACAAAAGAGACGUCCUGGUUUCAUUUAUGUCUUGAAAACCAGUGACAUGAGUGGUUACAUCCCUGGACACAGGAAGACAUUAAAUUAAGGGUUUAUUUUAUGUCUUCCUGUGUUACUUAUCAUGCACUAUUGUCUUCCAAUUUAUCUAUUGAGUAGCGAUGUUUCUGUAUCUAAAAUCUGACAAGACUCACUAUCGCUCACGUCUUUCAUGCUUGUGUCUGAGAUGUGUUCAGGUCUGUACAGUACUGUCUCACUCAACCUGUUAAGCUUGUUCAGUUCUGUACAGUACUGACACAUUAGAUGUUUUAAGAGUGUUCAGUUCUGUAAAGUACUGGCUCAUUAGAUGUGUUUAGAGUGUUCAGUUCUGUACAGUACUGACACAUUAGAUGUUUUAAGAGUGUUCAGGUCUGUACAGUACUGUCUCACUCAACCUGUUAAGCUUGUUCAGUUCUGUGAAGUACUGGC